GCCUGGGUAGCUCAGCCAGCAGAUCAUCAGACUUUUAAUCUGAGGGUCCAUGGUUCAAGUCUCUGUUUAGGUG
rnacentral:tRNA from 1 species